UGGGGAAUCUUGGACAAUGGGGGCAACCCUGAUCCAGCCAUGCCGCGUGCGGGAAGAAGGCCCUAGGGUUGUAAACCGCUUUCAGCAGGGAAGAAAAUGACGGUACCUGCAGAAGAAGGUGCGGCCAACUACGUGCCAGCAGCCGCGGUGACACGUAGGCACCAAGCGUUGUCCGGAUUUAUUGGGCGUAAAGAGCUCGUAGGCGGUUCAGUAAGUCGGGUGUGAAAACUCUGGGCUCAACCCAGAGAGGCCACCCGAUACUGCUGUGACUUGAGUACGGUAGGGGAGCGGGGAAUUCCUGGUGUAGCGGUGAAAUGCGCAGAUAUCAGGAGGAACACCAGUGGCGAAGGCGCCGCUCUGGGCCGUAACUGACGCUGAGGAGCGAAAGCAUGGGUAGCAAACAGGAUUAGAUACCCUGGUAGUCCACACCGUAAACGAUGAAUGCCAGUCGUCGGGUAGCAUGCUAUUCGGUGACACACCUAACGGAUUAAGCAUUCCGCCUGGGGAGUACGGUCGCAG
rnacentral:rRNA from 1 species